CGUUGUUGGGUAGGGGAGCGUUCUGUAAGCCUGUGAAGGUGGCCUGUGAGGGUUGCUGGAGGUAUCAGAAGUGCGAAUGCUGACAUAAGUAACGAUAAAGCGGGUGAAAAGCCCGCUCGCCGGAAGACCAAGGGUUCCUGUCCAACGUUAAUCGGGGCAGGGUGAGUCGACCCCUAAGGCGAGGCCGAAAGGCGUAGUCGAUGGGAAACGGGUUAAUAUUCCCGUACUUGGUGUUACUGCGAAGGGGGGACGGAGAAGGCUAUGUUGGCCGGGCGACGGUUGUCCCGGUUUAAGCGUGUAGGUGUGUGUUCCAGGUAAAUCCGGUUCACUUUAACACUGAGGCGUGAUGACGAGGCACUACGGUGCUGAAGCAACAAAUGCCCUGCUUCCAGGAAAAGCCUCUAAGCAUCAGGUAACAUCAAAUCGUACCCCAAACCGACACAGGUGGUCAGGUAGAGAAUACCAAGGCGCUUGAGAGAACUCGGGUGAAGGAACUAGGCAAAAUGGUGCCGUAACUUCGGGAGAAGGCACGCUGACACGUAGGUGAAGUGAUUUACUCACGGAGCUGAAGUCAGUCGAAGAUACCAGCUGGCUGCAACUGUUUAUUAAAAACACAGCACUGUGCAAACACGAAAGUGGACGUAUACGGUGUGACGCCUGCCCGGUGCCGGAAGGUUAAUUGAUGGGGUCAGCGCAAGCGAAGCUCCUGAUCGAAGCCCCGGUAAACGGCGGCCGUAACUAUAACGGUCCUAAGGUAGCGAAAUUCCUUGUCGGGUAAGUUCCGACCUGCACGAAUGGCGUAAUGAUGGCCAGGCUGUCUCCACCCGAGACUCAGUGAAAUUGAACUCGCUGUGAAGAUGCAGUGUACCCGCGGCAAGACGGAAAGACCCCGUGAACCUUUACUAUAGCUUGACACUGAACAUUGAGCCUUGAUGUGUAGGAUAGGUGGGAGGCUUUGAAGUGUGGACGCCAGUCUGCAUGGAGCCGACCUUGAAAUACCACCCUUUAAUGUUUGAUGUUCUAACGUGGACCCGUAAUCCGGGUUGCGGACAGUGUCUGGUGGGUAGUUUGACUGGGGCGGUCUCCUCCUAAAGAGUAACGGAGGAGCACGAAGGUUGGCUAAUCCUGGUCGGACAUCAGGAGGUUAGUGCAAUGGCAUAAGCCAGCUUGACUGCGAGCGUGACGGCGCGAGCAGGUGCGAAAGCAGGUCAUAGUGAUCCGGUGGUUCUGAAUGGAAGGGCCAUCGCUCAACGGAUAAAAGGUACUCCGGGGAUAACAGGCUGAUACCGCCCAAGAGUUCAUAUCGACGGCGGUGUUUGGCACCUCGAUGUCGGCUCAUCACAUCCUGGGGCUGAAGUAGGUCCCAAGGGUAUGGCUGUUCGCCAUUUAAAGUGGUACGCGAGCUGGGUUUAGAACGUCGUGAGACAGUUCGGUCCCUAUCUGCCGUGGGCGCUGGAGAACUGAGGGGGGCUGCUCCUAGUACGAGAGGACCGGAGUGGACGCAUCACUGGUGUUCGGGUUGUCAUGCCAAUGGCACUGCCCGGUAGCUAAAUGCGGAAGAGAUAAGUGCUGAAAGCAUCUAAGCACGAAACUUGCCCCGAGAUGAGUUCUCCCUGAGACUUAGGUCUCCUGAAGGAACGUUGAAGACGACGACGUUGAUAGGCCGGGUGUGUAAGCGCAGCGAUGCGUUGAGCUAACCGGUACUAAUGAACCGUGAGGCUUAACCUUACAACGCCGAAG
rnacentral:rRNA from 1 species